UAUACCCGAUGUCGAACUUUGCCGUUCGGAGCUGGCGAGACUUGCCGAAAGAAUGUACGGUGGACACGUAAAAAAAAAAACCAAUUUUGAACCCCUUCAAUUCCCAGAAGGUCCUAACCCCCAAAAAAUCAUUUAAGUGGGUCCUGCUCUGAUUCAUUACCUUUCAUUUGAGCUAUGUCCGGUGUCGAACUUUGCCGUACGGAGCUGGCGAGACUUGCCGAAAGAAUGUACGGUGGACACGUAAAAAAAAAAGAAUACCAACUUUGAACCCCUUCAAUUCCCAGAAGGUCCUAACCCCCAAAAAAUCAUUUAAGUGGGUCCUGCUCUGAUUCAUUACCUUUCAUUUGAGCUAUGUCCGGUGUCGAACUUUGCCGUACGGAGCUGGCGAGACUUGCCGAAAGAAUGUACGGUGGACACGUAAAAAAAAAAAGAAUACCAACUUUGAACCCCUUCAAUUCCCAGAAGGUCCUAACCCCCAAAAAAUCAUUUAAGUGGGUCCUGCUCUGAUUCAUUACCUUUCAUUUGAGCUAUGUCCGAUGUCGAACUUUGCCGUACGGAGCUGGCGAGACUUGCCGAAAGAAUGUACGGUGGACACGUAAAAAAAAAAAGAAUACCAACUUUGAACCCCUUCAAUUCCCAGAAGGUCCUAACCCCCAAAAAAUCAUUUAAGUGGGUCCUGCUCUGAUUCAUUACCUUUCAUUUGAGCUAUGUCCGGUGUCGAACUUUGUCGUACGGAGCUGGCGAAACUUGCCAAAAGAAUGUACGGUGGACACGUAAAAAAAAAAAGAAUACCAACUUUGAACCCCUUCAAUUCCCAGAAGGUCCUAACCCCCAAAAAAUCAUUUAAGUGGGUCCUGCUCUGAUUCAUUACCUUUCAUUUGAGCUAUGUCCGGUGUCGAACUUUGCCGUAUGGAGCUGGCGAGACUUGCCGAAAGAAUGUACGGUGGACACGUAAAAAAAAAAAGAAUACCAACUUUGAACCCCUUCAAUUCCCAGAAGGUCCUAACCCCCAAAAAAUCAUUUAAGUGGGUCCUGCUCUGAUUCAUUACCUUUCAUUUGAGCUAUGUCCGGUGUCGAACUUUGCCGUACGGAGCUGGCGAGACUUGCCGAAAGAAUGUACGGUGGACACGUAAAAAAAAAAGAAUACCAACUUUGAACCCCUUCAAUUCCCAGAAGGUCCUAACCCCCAAAAAAUCAUUUAAGUGGGUCCUGCUCUGAUUCAUUACCUUUCAUUUGAGCUAUGUCCGGUGUCGAACUUUGCCGUACGGAGCUGGCGAGACUUGCCGAAAGAAUGUACGGUGGACACGUAAAAAAAAAAGAAUACCAACUUUGAACCCCUUCAAUUCCCAGAAGGUCCUAACCCCCAAAAAAUCAUUUAAGUGGGUCCUGCUCUGAUUCAUUACCUUUCAUUUGAGCUAUGUCCGAUGUCGAAUUUAGCCGAACGGAGCUGGCGAGACUUGCCGAAAGAAUGUACGGUGGACACGUAAAAAAAAAAAUACCAACUUUGAACCCCUUCAAUUCCCAGAAGGUCCUAAACCCCAAAAAAUCAUUUAAGUGGGUCCUGCUCUGAUUCAUUACCUUUCAUUUGAGCUAUGUCCGAUGUCGAACUUUGCCGUACGGAGCUGGCGAGACUUGCCGAAAGAAUGUACGGUGGACACGUAUAAAAAAAAAAACCAAUUUUG